rnacentral:rRNA from 1 species
UCCUGGCUCAGGAUUAACGCUGGCGGCGUGCCUAAUACAUGCAAGUCGAAUGGUAGUAGCAAUACAAACCGAUGGCGAACGGGUGAGUAACACGUAGGUAACCUGUCUUUAAGACGAGGAUAACCAUUGGAAACGAUGGAUAAUACUGGAUAGGACAUCAUAAAGGGCAUCCUUAGAUGUUUAAAGAUUAUAAUGUCACUUAGAGAGGGGCCUGCGGCGCAUUAGCUAGUUGGUGAGGUAAGAGCCCACCAAGGCGAUGAUGCGUAGCCGGACUGAGAGGUUGAACGGCCACAAUGGAACUGAGAACGGUCCAUACUCCUACGGGAGGCAGCAGUAGGGAAUUUUCGGCAAUGGGCGCAAGCCUGACCGAGCAACGCCGCGUGAACGAAGAAGUUAUUCGUAAUGUAAAGUUCUUUUAUCUGGGAAGAAAAACAAAUUGACGGUACCAGAUGAAUAAGCUCCGGCUAACUACGUGCCAGCCGCCGC